rnacentral:rRNA from 1 species
UACGGAGGGUGCAAGCGUUGUUCGGAAUUAUUGGGCGUAAAGGGCGCGUAGGCGGCCUGUUAAGUCAGAUGUGAAACCCCCAGGCUCAACUUGGGAUUGCAUAUGAAACUGAUGGGCUCGAGUGUCGGAGAGGAAAGCGGAAUUCCUAGUGUAGCGGUGAAAUGCGUAGAUAUUAGGAGGAACACCAGUGGCGAAGGCGGCUUUCUGGACGAUAACUGACGCUGAGGCGCGAAAGCGUGGGGAGCAAACAGGAUUAGAUACCCUGGUAGUCCACGCUGUAAACUAUGGAUACUAGGUGUGGGAGGUAUCGACCCCUUCCGUGCCGCAGUAAACGCAAUAAGUAUCCCGCCUGGGGAGUACGGCCGCAAGGUUGAA